rnacentral:lncRNA from 1 species
UUAAUAUCAAAAUCUGAAAAGAAUACUAAAAUACUUGUACCUUGUAAUUUUUUUUCUUCCCAACACCAGUUGUCAGUAUCUUUGGGCCUUUUGAUACCUUCCAUCUCAUGCAAAGGCAAAGCGCCACGCUUUCCCCAUUGCCGUUCAUUCAUCACCGUCGGUGCCCGAGCUUGCACGAAUUCCUAUCCUCAUCUAAUCCAACGGCCACAACCCAAAGGAACACUAACCCAUAAAAUAGGCUACACGACACUCCAAAUCCAUAUCCAAG